AUGGCAGGUGCUGUCAAGCAGGGGCAUCAACCUCCCAAGCAGGCAACGAGGGUGGUCCAGCAGCAGCAAGUGGCCGAUGCAACAGUCCAAGCUCCACCUCCUCCUCCUGCUGCUACAGUUCAAGCUUUGGAUCCAAGGUACAAGGACAUGACCUGCUUUAAUUGUAGUUGGCCGGGGCACUAUGUGGGGAACUGCGUUGAACCGAAGAAAUGCUUUAUUUUCGUGGGAGGUCAUAAUGUCAAUAAUUGUGCUGCCUGGGAGAAACCACAUCCUACAACGACAUACUUUGGCAGUGCAGCGGCUGGCCUGGGAUUUUACCACAUAGAUGUUCCUACUGUGUCAGAACUAGGUUGGCUUAACUACAAGAAUUGUGCAGUUCUCAAAGUUGUUAAGGGUGAGGUUUCUGCCUCGGAGUUGCUGAUUCAGCUUAAUGGAAUAUUUUGUAAAAACAAAGAAUGGCCGUGGCAGAUUAGGGACUUGGGAGAGAAGAAGUUCUUGCUGAGAUUUCCACCUUGGAAGAAUGUGGGAGACCUGAUUGAGUUCCCUGCUUUUGAGCUCCCAAUUGAUGGAGUUUCUGUCAAGAUCUGUGAAUGGGAGGGAAUGUUGGAUGAGUUUGGAGGACUUACUGAGGCCUGGGUUCAAAUUAAAGGGAUUCCUCCAAAGUGGUGUGCUUGGAAGGUAUUUGCCCAGAUUACAGCUUGCUUUGGGAUCCUGGUAGAUGUGGACUGGAAUGGUAUAUUCAAGAGUUUUUAUGAGAAUAUCAGAGUGAAAGUGGCUUGUAGAGAUCCCAGGAAAAUUCCUUUUGAUAGGUUAGUGGAAAUGAAAAGGAAGCUAUACAUUAUGUUCUUCGCUGUUGAGGGUUUUGAGCAAAUGGGGGAGGACUCUGAUGGAGAUGAUCUAGACCCAGAUGAGGACAAUAUGGAGAAAGAGGAGGAAGAUAACAAUGAAGACUUGUCUGACAAAGAUAAAGCUCAUGAAGAAGAUAUGGGGGAACCUAUUGAUGAACUAGAUAAGGCUAAUUUUCCUUCCAAGAACACUCUGGCGGCAAGCUCUAGUCAGACAAACCCACAGAGAACUGCUUCUGCAGUGGAAUUUAACCCUUCCAACAUGCUGGACACAAUUCAUGAGGAUUUUGUGGAAGAAAUUAGGACCAAAACACCAGAGAAGAAGAAAGAGGCAGAUAAUGAAAAAUCCACUCCUGCAAAAACCUUUCCUUCUGGAAGACCUGAUCCCUUGUCAGCACAUAUGGAAUAUUUCUCUACACAAUUAAAUAAAUUUGAAAUGGUUGAAACUGAUGAAGAAGAGGAAGAAUUGGUGGAGGAAAUGCAGUGUAUACCUGAUGAUUUGGCUUUGGCAAUGGGAUCUGUCAAAAGAUCUCUACUGGAAACCCUGGAGAGUGUGGAAUUAGUCCAGAAGAAAAAACCAAGCGUAAAAAAUUCUCCUGUCUAG
rnacentral:rRNA from 1 species